GAAAUUUUUGUUAUUGACUAGAUGUUGCUUUUGGUAGGACAACUGACACUCCAGAAUGCAGCAGAACUUACAAAAGCAUUGCAAAAGCAAAAUGUGAUGGAGGUAGUAACACUGCAGAAUGCAGUGGAACUCUAAGUGAUAUUGAAGGUGGCUUAAGUGAUAACACUCUCACUGACGGAGAAGACUGUGGUAUUGUUGACUUUUCGUACCACCAUGAGUCUGAAGAAAAUACUAAAGAUAGGAUGAAGAUAACUUGUCCAAUUCGCAAGAACCUUUGCCAUGAAAAAGCAAGUAAUCUUGAAAAAAAUGCAAAAUUCAUGGUUAAAAAGUAUAAUAAACAAAAAAAAUUUAAAGUUGCAGUUUUCAAAGAAGGUGAUCAUGUCAGUGUGGCUUUACCAAAAUCAUUGCGUAACUCUACAGAUAUGCUACGU